rnacentral:snRNA from 1 species
GGCUGAGCAUUGGAAUCCAUCCGAUAAAAUUGGAACGGUACAGAGAAGACUAGCAUGGCCCCUGCGCCAGGAUGACACGCACAAAUCGAGAAGGGAGCCAAAAUCCU